UACGUAGGGGGCAAGCGUUGUCCGGAUUUAUUGGGCGUAAAGAGCGUGUAGGCGGCCACACAGGUCUGCUGUGAAAACUCGAGGCUCAACCUCGAGCUGUCGGUGGAAACCGUGUGGCUAGAGUCCGGAAGAGGAGAGUGGAAUUCCCGGUGUAGCGGUGAAAUGCGCAGAUAUCGGGAAGAACACCCGUGGCGAAGGCGGCUCUCUGGG
rnacentral:rRNA from 1 species